UACGUAGGCAGCGAGCGUUGUUCGGAGUUACUGGGCGUAAAGGGUGUGUAGGCGGUUGUUUAAGUUUGGUGUGAAAUCUCCCGGCUCAACCGGGAGGGUGCGCCGAAUACUGAAUGACUUCGAGUGCGGGAGAGGAAAGUGGAAUUCCUGGUGUAGCGGUGAAAUGCGUAGAUAUCAGGAGGAACACCGGUGGUGUAGACGGCUUUCUGGACCGUAACUGACGCUGGGACACGAAAGCGUGGGUAGCAAACAGG
rnacentral:rRNA from 1 species